UCUUAUAUAUAUAUGAUGUGAAUAUAUUUGUGUGUGCAUGUUCAUGUGUACAGUUAUAGGCCAUGGCAUACAUAACACAUAUAUGGAGUCAGAGGGAAAUCUCAGA
rnacentral:miRNA from 1 species